AAUUCAACUGAAUUUCCAAAAGUCGUUGCUUAAUUCAACAAUUUCAAACCGAAAACUCUUUAAAUUCCAAGCAGAUCCGCCUCCAACAGGGGAUCGAAGGCGCAUUAAUUAGUAGCCAUCCUUUUUCAACAAAACUUAAAACUUGCCUAUUGGUUGCCGAUAAUAAUUCACCAUACAACAAUAACUAUGUCUCAGUAGUAAGGUUGAUAAUAAGAAUCCUCCAUAUAUAUUCUGUGUUUUCCGAAAAAACAAAUUCAGCUGCAGGCAAUUCGGCUCGGUGAGAAACAGGAUGCUUCAGGUCUAUUCAACCAAAUCUGCCAAUCAAAAUUCAACUGAAUUACGCAUGAAAAACGUAAGAAUUGUAUAAUACGGUAGAUCCAAAGGGAAAAAUGAGGAAGAUACGUACAUUUGAUGUGAAUUAGUGAUGGAUAAUGCACAUAAUUCUACUGGUAUUCCUCGUAAAAUGAUGAAAACAGAAUUUCUCAAUUCCCCCGAGCGUAAUGAUGAGUUAAUUCAAACAGUGAAUAUUUUGAGGGAUUAAUGGUAGGCCCUCGGCUUGAUUAACGCAGCAAACGAUGAACAACACACGCCUCGAUUGCUUCCUUUCUUAAAUAUUUGAGGAAAAAAAAGUAAAAGAAAAUGGGUCUCAGAGAUCAGAGGAGUCUCUCUCUCUCUCUCUCUCUCUCUCUCUCUCUCUCUCUCUCUCUCUUUGGUGAGAGAUGUUUUAAAGGUAAACGUUGUUCGUUGUCGUUGGCUGUUGCGUGCUAACUCCGUUAGGAAUCAACGUCGUCAAUGCGGUGGACUGACGGCGUUUGAUUCACUGGAGGAAAGUGUGCAACCGGGGGCAGGGGGUGGUUUGUACGAUAAUGUGUAAUUGGAUUAUUUUACAAUGUAAUAUUCGGAUAUACUUC
rnacentral:lncRNA from 1 species